rnacentral:rRNA from 1 species
AUUGAACGCUGGCGGCAGGCAUAACACAUGCAAGUCGAGCGGAGAGAGGUAGCUUGCUACUGAUCUUAGCGGCGGACGGGUGAGUAAUGCUUAGGAAUCUGCCUAUUAGUGGGGGACAACAUUCCGAAAGGAAUGCUAAUACCGCAUACGUCCUACGGGAGAAAGCAGGGGAUCUUCGGACCUUGCGCUAAUAGAUGAGCCUAAGUCGGAUUAGCUAGUUGGUGGGGUAAAGGCCUACCAAGGCGACGAUCUGUAGCGGGUCUGAGAGGAUGAUCCGCCACACUGGGACGGAGACACGGCCCAGACUCCUACGGGAGGCAGCAGUGGGGAAUAUUGGACAAUGGGGGGAACCCUGAUCCAGCCAUGCCGCGUGUGUGAAGAAGGCCUUAUGGUUGUAAAGCACUUUAAGCGAGGAGGAGGCUACUGAGACUAAUACUCUUGGAUAGUGGACGUUACUCGCAGAAUAAGCACCGGCUAACUCUGUGCCAGCCGCCGCAGUAA